UACGUAGGGGGCAAGCGUUAUCCGGAUUCACUGGGUGUAAAGGGAGCGUAGACGGCCAUGCAAACCUGGAGUGAAAGCCCGGGGCCCAACCCCGGGACUGCUCUGGGAACUGUGCGGCUGGAGUGCGGGAGGGGCAGGCGGAAUUCCUGGUGUAGCGGUGAAAUGCGUAGAUAUCAGGAGGAACACCGGCGGCGAAGGCGGCCUGCUGGACCGCGACUGACGUUGAGGCUCGAAAGCGUGGGGAGCAAACAGG
rnacentral:rRNA from 1 species